AGAGAGACACACACACACACACAGAGGGAGAGAGAGGAGGAGGGAGAGAGAGAUAGGGAGAGGGGGAAUUCUUUACAAUACGAAUUGAAAUUUAUAAAAAUGUUCAAAGUCUUAAAUAUAAUCGGCUCUCGUAUCGUUCAUCGUAUGUUAUAUAAUUAAAUAAUGAUCGUAAUGUCGGUCGCUUCAAUUUAUCUGAAUCAAUUGGAUGAUGCAAAUUAAAAUAUUGUUGGUUUAGAUUUUGCGUUCGAAUUAGAAGAAAAAAGUGAUAAAAAAGAAAUUAAGAAAAAAAAAAAAAAAAAAAAAAAAAAAAAAAAAAAAAAAAUAAGAAAAACGAUUGAAUGAACGAACGAACGGAACAAACGAACUGAACGAACGAAACGAUGAAAAGUUAUAAAAGUAUAUAGGUUUUUAACGAGACGAUCAAAAACGAGAAAGGAGAACUAACAACGCGCUUUACUAGUUUUCUUCGUGUUACUGACUAUCGGGAAGUAUAAAACGCUUAUCAAUGUCUACAUUUGUGAAGGCCAAGUUAACUUUGUAGAUAUUUAAAAGCUCUCACGUCUUAUAUCAUGCGUAUUUUAAGACGUAUACCUCGAUAUCGCGUGAUACCCUCCAAUGCAAACGCAGGCUUAUGUCCGACGUAUUUUCAUGUCCUAAGAAAAUGAUUGAUACCUACGUAUAUGUAUAUGUAUAUGUACAUGUCACAUUCUCGUUGGAAUAUAAAAGUCGAUAGGGAGAGAAAGAGAGAAAGAGAGAGAGAGAGAGAGAGAGAGAGACAGACAGAAGGAGGGAGAGAAGGGGAAGAGAGAAGAAAAAAGAGGAGGAAACUGUCUGUCUCUCCAUCUUUAAAAACAAGUCGACGCACGAGAAGAAGGAAGAGGAAGAAGGAAAACUUGGUUGGAAUGUCAAACGUACGUGCGAUAAAAAAAAAGGGAGAGGAGAGCGGACAGAUAAAAGGAAGAAAGAAAGGAAGAAAAGAAAAAAAAAGAAAAAAGAAAAAGGGAAAGAAGAGAGGAUAGAGAGAGGGGAAGAAAAAAUAAAAAAGAGAAAAAAGAAAGAAGGAAGGAAAGAAAGAAAAGAAGAGACAAGAAAAAGAAAAAAGUCUCGACGGUUUUAUCGAAGAAGGAGAAUAUUUUUCGUUCUUAUUCGAACAGUCACUCUAUCGUAUCCGAACGUAUUUCCAUUCUCUCUUCGAGAUAACGGAAGUACAUACGUAAGUAAAGUAUGUAUAUGUCUAUAUGUGCGUACGUAAGUGUCGAUGUAUAUUCUGUCUCUCUCUUUUUCUCUGUGUGUCGCUUUAUCUCUCUUUUUCUCUAUUCAUUUUUGUCCUUUUUUUUUCUUUUUUUUUUUUUUUUUUUUUUUU